rnacentral:misc_RNA from 1 species
AGGAGCACUUGGCAGACCGUUCGCGGUCCUGUCCAUCGGUUCUGUUUCGAGGGCGAACGCCCCUCGGCAGACCAGCUCACUAGUGGAACGUCGACUAUUUGGCGCAGGAGCGCACGAUCGCUCGUCAGUACUGUCGCACCGUCCUCGGACGGUCGGCGUGGAACCUCGAGCAGGGUCGGCGCGAACGCACCAGGCACACUGUUGGGUCCUGAGGGAUCGAGUCUCGACUUGAUCUCUUCGGCCGCCCCCACCACGAACCACCGCACGGACAGACUUGUCCACCCGGCAGGCGUGGCACCACGGACGGGACCGCCCGUAAUUUGAGAACUACACAGUGAACGCGAGCAUCUUUGUAGCAAGACA